GCCGCUGAAGCUUAGAUGGUAGAGACGUCGCCAGUAUAGAUGGUGAAGGUUGCUGGUUCAAAUCCAGCUUGUGGUA